rnacentral:sRNA from 1 species
UCAGAAUAACUUCCUGCAGCGACCAACAGGCUAAAGAGGGGGAAGGGAUCCAGCACCGGCUCCUCCUCCGGCAACCACGGUGGGAGCGGCGGAGGAAAUGGACAUAAACCCGGGAAUUUUAAAUCCAAGCUGGGUUUCAUUAACUGGGAUGCCAUAAACAAGGACCAGAGAAGCUCUCGCAUCCCGUGACCUCCAGACAAGGAGCCACCAGAUUGGAUGGGAGCCCCCACGCCCCCUCCUUAAAACACCACCCUCUCAUCACUAAUCUCAGCCCUUGCCCUUGAAAUAAACCUUAGCUGCCCCACA